GUGCCAGCCGCCGCGGUAAGACGAACCGUACAAACGUUAUUCGGAAUCACUGGGCUUAAAGGGUGCGUAGGCGGCGGCGCAAGUUGGGUGUGAAAUCCCUCGGCUCAACCGAGGAACUGCGCUCAAAACUGCGUUGCUUGAGGGAGAUAGAGGUGAGUGGAACUUAGGGUGGAGCGGUGAAAUGCGUUGAUAUCCUAAGGAACACCAGUGGCGAAAGCGACUCACUGGGUCUCUUCUGACGCUGAGGCACGAAAGCUAGGGUAGCGAACGGGAUUAGAAACCCGCGUAGUCC
rnacentral:rRNA from 1 species